GAGGAUCCGAGCGUUAUCCGGAUUUAUUGGGUUUAAAGGGAGCGUAGGCGGAUGUUUAAGUCAGUUGUGAAAGUUUAAGGCUCAACCUUGAAAUUGCAGUUGAUACUGGACGUCUUGAGUGCAUUAAAUGUGGGCGGAAUUCGUGGUGUAGCGGUGAAAUGCUUAGAUAUCACGAAGAACUCCAAUUGCGAAGGCAGCUCACAGGACUGUAACUGACGCUGAUGCUCGAAAGUGUGGGUAUCAAACAGGA
rnacentral:rRNA from 1 species